CAGUAGCCGCGGUAAAACGAAGGGUGCAAGCGUUACUCGGAAUUACUGGGCGUAAAGCGUGCGUAGGUGGUGGUUUAAGUCCGUUGUGAAAGCCCUGGGCUCAACCUGGGAAUUGCAGUGGAUACUGGGUCACUAGAGUGUGGUAGAGGAUAGUGGAAUUUCCGGUGUAGCAGUGAAAUGCGUAGAGAUCGGAAGGAACAUCUGUGGCGAAGGCGACUAUCUGGGCCAACACUGACACUGAGGCACGAAAGCGUGGGGAGCAAACAGGAUUAGAUACCCGCGUAGUCCCUGUCUCUUAUAC
rnacentral:rRNA from 1 species